GCUCUUCCGAUCUUAACCGCAUAGGGGAGCCGGAGGGAAACCGAGUCUUAAUUGGGCGUUAAGUUGCAGGGUAUAGACCCGAAACCCGGUGAUCUAGCCAUGGGCAGGUUGAAGGUUGGGUAACACUAACUGGAGGACCGAACCGACUAAUGUUGAAAAAUUAGCGGAUGACCUGUGGCUGGGGGUGAAAGGCCAAUCAAACCGGGAGAUAGCUGGUUCUCCCCGAAAGCUAUUUAGGUAGCGCCUCGUGAAUUCAUCUCCGGGGGUAGAGCACUGUUUCGGCUAGGGGGCCAUCCCGGCUUACCAACCCGAUGCAAACUGCGAAUACCGGAGAAUGUUAUCACGGGAGACACACGGCGGGUGCUAACGUCCGUCGUGAAGAGGGAAACAACCCAGACCGCCAGCUAAGGUCCCAAAGUCAUGGUUAAGUGGGAAACGAUGUGGGAAGGCCCAGACAGCCAGGAUGUUGGCUUAGAAGCAGCCAUCAUUUAAAGAAAGCGUAAUAGCUCACUGGUCGAGUCGGCCUGCGCGGAAGAUGUAACGGGGCUAAACCAUGCACCGAAGCUGCGGCAGCGACGCUGAUGCGUUGUUGGGUAGGGGAGCGUUCUGUAAGCCUGUGAAGGUGGCCUGUGAGGGUUGCUGGAGGUAUCAGAAGUGCGAAUGCUGACAUAAGUAACGAUAAAGCGGGUGAAAAGCCCGCUCGCCGGAAGACCAAGGGUUCCUGUCCAACGUUAAUCGGGGCAGGGUGAGUCGACCCCUAAGGCGAGGCCGAAAGGCGUAGUCGAUGGGAAACGGGUUAAUAUUCCCGUACUUGGUGUUACUGCGAAGGGGGGACGGAGAAGGCUAUGUUGGCCGGGCGACGGUUGUCCCGGUUUAAGCGUGUAGGUGUGUGUUCCAGGUAAAUCCGGUUCACUUUAACACUGAGGCGUGAUGACGAGGCACUACGGUGCUGAAGCAACAAAUGCCCUGCUUCCAGGAAAAGCCUCUAAGCAUCAGGUAACAUCAAAUCGUACCCCAAACCGACACAGGUGGUCAGGUAGAGAAUACCAAGGCGCUUGAGAGAACUCGGGUGAAGGAACUAGGCAAAAUGGUGCCGUAACUUCGGGAGAAGGCACGCUGACACGUAGGUGAAGUGAUUUACUCACGGAGCUGAAGUCAGUCGAAGAUACCAGCUGGCUGCAACUGUUUAUUAAAAACACAGCACUGUGCAAACACGAAAGUGGACGUAUACGGUGUGACGCCUGCCCGGUGCCGGAAGGUUAAUUGAUGGGGUCAGCGCAAGCGAAGCUCCUGAUCGAAGCCCCGGUAAACGGCGGCCGUAACUAUAACGGUCCUAAGGUAGCGAAAUUCCUUGUCGGGUAAGUUCCGACCUGCACGAAUGGCGUAAUGAUGGCCAGGCUGUCUCCACCCGAGACUCAGUGAAAUUGAACUCGCUGUGAAGAUGCAGUGUACCCGCGGCAAGACGGAAAGACCCCGUGAACCUUUACUAUAGCUUGACACUGAACAUUGAGCCUUGAUGUGUAGGAUAGGUGGGAGGCUUUGAAGUGUGGACGCCAGUCUGCAUGGAGCCGACCUUGAAAUACCACCCUUUAAUGUUUGAUGUUCUAACGUGGACCCGUUACCCGGGUUGCGGACAGUGUCUGGUGGGUAGUUUGACUGGGGCGGUCUCCUCCUAAAGAGUAACGGAGGAGCACGAAGGUUGGCUAAUCCUGGUCGGACAUCAGGAGGUUAGUGCAAUGGCAUAAGCCAGCUUGACUGCGAGCGUGACGGCGCGAGCAGGUGCGAAAGCAGGUCAUAGUGAUCCGGUGGUUCUGAAUGGAAGGGCCAUCGCUCAACGGAUAAAAGGUACUCCGGGGAUAACAGGCUGAUACCGCCCAAGAGUUCAUAUCGACGGCGGUGUUUGGCACCUCGAUGUCGGCUCAUCACAUCCUGGGGCUGAAGUAGGUCCCAAGGGUAUGGCUGUUCGCCAUUUAAAGUGGUACGCGAGCUGGGUUUAGAACGUCGUGAGACAGUUCGGUCCCUAUCUGCCGUGGGCGCUGGAGAACUGAGGGGGGCUGCUCCUAGUACGAGAGGACCGGAGUGGACGCAUCACUGGUGUUCGGGUUGUCAUGCCAAUGGCACUGCCCGGUAGCUAAAUGCGGAAGAGAUAAGUGCUGAAAGCAUCUAAGCACGAAACUUGCCCCGAGAUGAGUUCU
rnacentral:rRNA from 1 species